GGUUGUUUGGCCGAGCGGUCUAAGGCGCCUGAUUCAAGAGUUCGACUCUUAACUGUGUUAAAGNGUGAAUACUCAGGUAUCGUAAGAUGCGUGAGUUCGAAUCUCACAGCAACCA
rnacentral:tRNA from 1 species